rnacentral:rRNA from 1 species
CGGUGGAUGAUGUGGAUUAAUUCGAUGCAACGCGAAAACCUUACCUACCCUUGACAUGUCAGGAAGUCUGCUGAGAGGUGGAUGUGCUCGAAAGAGAACCUGAACACAGGUGCUGCAUGGCUGUCGUCAGCUCGUGUCGUGAGAUGUUGGGUUAAGUCCCGCAACGAGCGCAACCCUUGUCAUUAAUUGCCAUCAUUCAGUUGGGCACUUUAAUGAGACUGCCGGUGACAAACCGGAGGAAGGUGGGGAUGACGUCAAGUCCUCAUGGCCCUUAUGGGUAGGGCUUCACACGUCAUACAAUGGUCGGUACAGAGGGUCGCCAACCCGCGAGGGGGAGCCAAUCCCACAAAGCCGAUCGUAGUCCGGAUCGCAGUCUGCAACUCGACUGCGUGAAGUCGGAAUCGCUAGUAAUCGUGGAUCAGCAUGUCACGGUGAAUACGUUCCCGGGUCUU